rnacentral:lncRNA from 10 species
GGAAAAUACCCUGGCCCACAGACCCGCCCCGGCAGCCCGGCCCACCCCAAAUCAUGUGUGUGUGCUGGGGGGUGGGGGCUAGUGGGGCAGAGGAUAAGCAGGCUGGAAGAGCCGACUCCUACGGCUGCGAUCCAAGAGGUGCCUGCAACAGUUGCCCCCCGACUUCUGUCGCCCCCAUGGAGGCAAACAAGUCUGGAACAGGGAAUGGGGGUCUGGGAGAGAAGAUGAAAAGACUGAGGAUCAGAGAGGUGAGCAGUAGCUUUCCCAAAGGCCCAGAGCCAAGAAGCGUUGAAGCUUAAAAGCACGCCGCGGCAGGGAAGAUCAAGCAAGCCCUGCGCCUAUCUGCAGGCCGGAUCUCUGGAUCUCCCCAGCCUCCAGAUCUCAGUGUGGCUCUCUCUGGAGACAAAAGCUAAGACUCAACCCACAGGCAACACUCAACACAGAGAUCCAGCUCAGAAAAAAAGGAGCUGACCAGGGAGGAAUGGAGAGGCCAAGACACAUAAUGAAGACUAAGAAAAGGAAGAAAGAUGAUGCUGGGGCUGGAGCCAAAGGGAGAGGAAGAGGAAAGGAAGGAAAGCCAGGGGCAGAGACCUGGCAGGGCAGCGUGAGCCCAACAACCACGGGGUGGGGGUGGGGCGCGCAUCAAGAUUUCUAACAAGCGCAGCUGAAAACACCCAGGGCCGUUCUCUGAGGCCUUCUCUCUGCCUACCAGCCCUCACCAGUGCUUCGAAGAGCCCUGAGGAACGUCUCUCUAUUUGAAGUCAGAGCCGAGUGCCUGCUCUCGGCACCUGGGGCUCCAUGCUUACCAGGAUGGUGGGUACUUGACCUUCAUUUGCUGUGGGACUGUCAGGGAUUCCAGGGACCCACUGGUCCCCGAACUGGCUCAGAGAUGCAAGCCAUUUUUACCUCCUACACAUCUAUAAUCCCCACCCCAUGGCUGACAAAUAUUCCCAGUCCACAGCUGUCUCCACCCACCCAGUGACAGAGCACAGGCAGCCAAAAGGAUCAAGCAAUCUCUUGCCACCUCCCAGCACCCCAGAAUGCUAAACAGACCCUCACAUCUGGACUCCACAUCCAGCGAGGAGUGCCCCUGCCCACCACCCAGAUCACACAGCUGCCAGUUACAGACCACCCUAUAGGUCCCACCACACGGCCAUAGCCCACCAGCAUCCCAGAGCUGCCUCUACACUAAAGCUCUGUCCCAGCCCAGCCAUCCUUCAAGCCACAUCUGGAAUAGCACACACCCUAUUCCACUAGCCAAAGCCCCCAGGGGUGUAAUUCAGAAGGAGGCAGACUGGGCCUGGGGCAUGUGGACAAGUCCCUGACACCACGCCCUGGCUUCUCCGGCUUGUCUGAAGAACCUGAACUGCCCUUAAGGCCUGCGCCUCCCAUCCCAGGGCAGCCCCCCCGCCAUACCUACACUCUUGGCCAUGGGAGAAUGUCCUCAUGUGCGGCUAAACAUCCUCCUCAUGCAGCCUUGAAUUCUGUUCCUUCCACGUCACCUCACCAGACCCAGGAUGAAAGCCGCUCACCUAGAGCAAAGCUUCUGCUUCCGAGGCAUUCAGGACUCCCCUCAGGGUGUGUGAGCACCCUGGGGCACAUGCCUGUUGCUUAUGUCUGGGUUACCUCUGUGACCCUGGGACCGCUCCACAUUGAAGGCCGUUGUGUCUUUUUGUGGAAGGAUGGAAGGACAGAAGGGAAGGAGAGACAAAGUGGUACCACAGCCCUGUUCUUGCCCUGGCACUUGGAGGGCACCAGAUACCCAGGGGACUGUAGCUGGCUGUGAGGACUCUAAGGCCAGGCCAGCAUACACAGUCCCCAAUAGUGAGUAGGAGCCCAGUCAGUCCACACCCCUUCCCAUCCACUCGAAAUGUAACUUAGCCCUCGGCUUCUCCUUACCUUUCAGGAGUUCUCUCCUUACCCCCAAAGACUUCCUGAGGACCCCCUAGGCCAGCCAGCCUAUCCCUCUCUCCCCUAACCCAGCAUCCUGCAGUCCCCUGGUUCAGAUUGGUGGUGUCUGUGCCUGAACCCCCACGAGCCUGAAAGCCCCUCAAAGGCCACAUGGGUCUCCCGCCUCUCUGCAUCUCCAGAUGGUGGCACGAGGCCUAGCACACAAGGAAUCCCAGAAAAUGUUGGCUGAAGGAAUAAAUGGAUGGAUCUAGGUUUAUG